CUUACAAUAAGUGCAAAAACCAUAAAGAUUCAAACACCGAACAACAAGGAAAGUGCAGAUAUAUUCACUUCAAGCAAGAUCAUACCAUAGUAAGUGCUGGUGAAUUAGUAACAAGGCCUACAUUACUCUACAAAUACAUUUUC